GCCUACAUCUGUUCCUAUUGAAACUGCGCCAGUCUCGCCAUUGCAACUGGAGUUGGAGCAACCGGCUGUGGUUACCUCAAGCUCAUAAGUUGAUACUAGCACCGAGGUCGGGAAUAACUAAAUUUGUGUAUCUUUUCUUUUUCUUUUCUAGGCAAUGUAAGGGAGGGCUCUAAAAUCAAUAAAAAAAGAUAAUUUUUAUCCAUAUUCUUUGGUUCAUAUCUAUUUGCAAUACUUUUCUCAAUUGGUUUGGUUUGAUUAUUGCAAUCGUAUGUUUAUCCAAUAUCGUGCUAAGCAUCUGCCGAUAGCCUUGCCUCUGA
rnacentral:lncRNA from 1 species